UGUGACUGUGUGUGCUUCGAACAUCCC
rnacentral:piRNA from 1 species